AUUUUACUUUUGAUGAGCCCUGUCUGAAGACACACGUUGCCUGCAUGGGACAGCCGGCUAACUUACCAUCAUCUGAAGCGCAGUCUUUGAGGAAUGAACUCAAUAUGAACUGGGAUUUGAUAGAGGUGCUGUCCCAUCUCACAUGUGUAGAGCGAUGGGUAUAUGCAAACAUCAUUGUGCUGCUUCGUGAGUAGAACACCGUUGAUGGUGCGCUACAGGACAGACAUGAUUAACCACAUGGAUCCUGAUGCUGUUUGUGAUGUCCAGAUGGUAUAUGAGGAGUUAUGCUCUUUGGCGAAGAGGACUAAGUCUGUGGUUCAGACCCUGAAGAAAGAUGGGGUAUUAAAAUCAAAAGCUGAGGAGCUGCCGGUCAGCUGAUGAACUGCACUG